rnacentral:other from 1 species
CUUUAUAUCCCACUACAUUCAAAUAAAAC